rnacentral:rRNA from 1 species
AACGAACGCUGGCGGCAUGCCUAACACAUGCAAGUCGAACGGACCCUUCGGGGUUAGUGGCGCACGGGUGCGUAACGCGUGGGAAUCUGCCCUUUGGUACGGAAUAACGCUUCGAAAGGAGUGCUAAUACUGUAUGACGUCUUCGGACCAAAGGUUUAUCGCCUGAGGAUGAGCCCGCGUUGGAUUAGCUAGUUGGUGGGGUAAAGGCCCACCAAGGCGACGAUCCAUAGCUGGUCUGAGAGGAUGAUCAGCCACACUGGGACUGAGACACGGCCCAGACUCCUACGGGAGGCAGCAGUGGGGAAUAUUGGACAAUGGGCGCAAGCCUGAUCCAGCAAUGCCGCGUGAGUGAUGAAGGCCUUAGGGUUGUACAGCUCUUUUACCCGGGAAGAUAAUGACUGUACCGGGAGAAUAAGCCCCGGCUAACUCCGUGCCAGCCGCCGCGGUAA